GGUAACAUCAAAUCGUACCCCAAACCGACACAGGUGGUCAGGUAGAGAAUACCAAGGCGCUUGAGAGAACUCGGGUGAAGGAACUAGGCAAAAUGGUGCCGUAACUUCGGGAGAAGGCACGCUGACACGUAGGUGAAGUGAUUUACUCAUGGAGCUGAAGUCAGUCGAAGAUACCAGCUGGCUGCAACUGUUUAUUAAAAACACAGCACUGUGCAAACACGAAAGUGGACGUAUACGGUGUGACGCCUGCCCGGUGCCGGAAGGUUAAUUGAUGGGGUCAGCGCAAGCGAAGCUCCUGAUCGAAGCCCCGGUAAACGGCGGCCGUAACUAUAACGGUCCUAAGGUAGCGAAAUUCCUUGUCGGGUAAGUUCCGACCUGCACGAAUGGCGUAAUGAUGGCCAGGCUGUCUCCACCCGAGACUCAGUGAAAUUGAACUCGCUGUGAAGAUGCAGUGUACCCGCGGCAAGACGGAAAGACCCCGUGAACCUUUACUAUAGCUUGACACUGAACAUUGAGCCUUGAUGUGUAGGAUAGGUGGGAGGCUUUGAAGCGUGGACGCCAGUCUGCGUGGAGCCGACCUUGAAAUACCACCCUUUAAUGUUUGAUGUUCUAACGUGGACCCGUGAUCCGGGUUGCGGACAGUGUCUGGUGGGUAGUUUGACUGGGGCGGUCUCCUCCUAAAGAGUAACGGAGGAGCACGAAGGUUGGCUAAUCCUGGUCGGACAUCAGGAGGUUAGUGCAAUGGCAUAAGCCAGCUUGACUGCGAGCGUGACGGCGCGAGCAGGUGCGAAAGCAGGUCAUAGUGAUCCGGUGGUUCUGAAUGGAAGGGCCAUCGCUCAACGGAUAAAAGGUACUCCGGGGAUAACAGGCUGAUACCGCCCAAGAGUUCAUAUCGACGGCGGUGUUUGGCACCUCGAUGUCGGCUCAUCACAUCCUGGGGCUGAAGUAGGUCCCAAGGGUAUGGCUGUUCGCCAUUUAAAGUGGUACGCGAGCUGGGUUUAGAACGUCGUGAGACAGUUCGGUCCCUAUCUGCCGUGGGCGCUGGAGAACUGAGGGGGGCUGCUCCUAGUACGAGAGGACCGGAGUGGACGCAUCACUGGUGUUCGGGUUGUCAUGCCAAUGGCACUGCCCGGUAGCUAAAUGCGGAAGAGAUAAGUGCUGAAAGCAUCUAAGCACGAAACUUGCCCCGAGAUGAGUUCUCCCUGAGACUUAGAGUCUCCUGAAGGAACGUUGAAGACGACGACGUUGAUAGGCCGGGUGUGUAAGCGCAGCGAUGCGUUGAGCUAACCGGUACUAAUGAACCGUGAGGCUUAACCUUACAACGCCGAAG
rnacentral:rRNA from 1 species